rnacentral:rRNA from 1 species
AGACCCGAAACCCGGUGAUCUAGCCAUGGGCAGGUUGAAGGUUGGGUAACACUAACUGGAGGACCGAACCGACUAAUGUUGAAAAAUUAGCGGAUGACCUGUGGCUGGGGGUGAAAGGCCAAUCAAACCGGGAGAUAGCUGGUUCUCCCCGAAAGCUAUUUAGGUAGCGCCUCGUGAAUUCAUCUCCGGGGGUAGAGCACUGUUUCGGCUAGGGGGCCAUCCCGGCUUACCAACCCGAUGCAAACUGCGAAUACCGGAGAAUGUUAUCACGGGAGACACACGGCGGGUGCUAACGUCCGUCGUGAAGAGGGAAACAACCCAGACCGCCAGCUAAGGUCCCAAAGUCAUGGUUAAGUGGGAAACGAUGUGGGAAGGCCCAGACAGCCAGGAUGUUGGCUUAGAAGCAGCCAUCAUUUAAAGAAAGCGUAAUAGCUCACUGGUCGAGUCGGCCUGCGCGGAAGAUGUAACGGGGCUAAACCAUGCACCGAAGCUGCGGCAGCGACGCUUAUGCGUUGUUGGGUAGGGGAGCGUUCUGUAAGCCUGUGAAGGUGGCCUGUGAGGGUUGCUGGAGGUAUCAGAAGUGCGAAUGCUGACAUAAGUAACGAUAAAGCGGGUGAAAAGCCCGCUCGCCGGAAGACCAAGGGUUCCUGUCCAACGUUAAUCGGGGCAGGGUGAGUCGACCCCUAAGGCGAGGCCGAAAGGCGUAGUCGAUGGGAAACGGGUUAAUAUUCCCGUACUUGGUGUUACUGCGAAGGGGGGACGGAGAAGGCUAUGUUGGCCGGGCGACGGUUGUCCCGGUUUAAGCGUGUAGGCUGGUUUUCCAGGCAAAUCCGGAAAAUCAAGGCUGAGGCGUGACGACGAGGCACUACGGUGCUGAAGCAACAAAUGCCCUGCUUCCAGGAAAAGCCUCUAAGCAUCAGGUAACAUCAAAUCGUACCCCAAACCGACACAGGUGGUCAGGUAGAGAAUACCAAGGCGCUUGAGAGAACUCGGGUGAAGGAACUAGGCAAAAUGGUGC